UACGGGGGGAGCAAGCGUUGUUCGGAUUUACUGGGCGUAAAGGGCGCGUAGGCGGUCAGCACAAGUCAGUUGUGAAAUCUCCGGGCUUAACUCGGAAAGGUCAACUGAUACUGUGCGACUAGAGUGCGGAAGGGGCAACUGGAAUUCUCGGUGUAGCGGUGAAAUGCGUAGAUAUCGAGAGGAACACCUGCGGCGAAGGCGGGUGCUGGGCCGACACUGACGCUGAUGCGCGAAAGCUAGGGGAGCGAACGGG
rnacentral:rRNA from 1 species